UUAAAAGAAUUAAAAUCCCUCAAAAUCCCAAUUGAAUACACCCCCAAAAUCGUUAAUUAAUCUUUUUCUUUUUUUUUUUCCGUGAAAUAUUUGGGAAAUCGGUCCAGAAAAGGAUCGAAUCGCAUUAAUUAGCUGAUUUUCCAUCUCAUCCGAUUGUAAAUUGGUUUAAUUGAACUUUAAUUUCAUUGUUCAAAGCUCCUAGCUUUCGGUUUCGUGGGAAAUUUUCCUAUCUAGUUGAAAAAUAGGCGUUCAUUGAUAAUCUGGGUGAGGAGCACAUAUGGGUUCCAUUGUUUGGUAGCCGAGAAAACGUAGGAAAAUAAUUCCUAAUAAAAUUCUGUGACUUUUUGCUUUUGUGUCCAAUAAAUUGAAAUCUUUGGCUCAGCCUAGCUGUGUAUUAGUUAGGUUCAGUUGCAUGGAUUUUGUUUUUAUGAUCAGCAAACAAUUUGAGAUUGAAUUUUUUGUAUUUUUUCAUUGCGUAGUUAUGGUAGCACUUAUUACUAGAUGGACUCUAAGAUCUUGGAUCGAACUAAUGGUGCACAUCCCUUCAAUUUUUUGUUUAUAUUGUAGAGUAGAUGUAUUCGAUCCUCGGUUGUUCACAGCAUAACUUGCUGAGUGCUUUUGUAGUUUAGCUCUACUAAUAAGAAGUGUCAUUGCAAGUGUGAGAUUGCUUUCACUUUGCGAUACACUGAUUUCCUAAAUUGUUGUCCAAAUAUGUGUAAUGGUUGAUUAUGGCUCGCAUAUGUUGUUCUUCGAUUAGUAGUCAGGGUUGUUAAUUUCUCUGCUUUUUCGGUUUGAUUCUGAUAUUUUUUUUUGGGUUUUUGGUUGGUUUGAAUGGUGUUCGAUAACUUGGUGUUUCCUGUUGUGUUGCAAAGGAUCUUAGCUUAGGUGGUAGCAAGUUUUUGUGAAAAUUAAAUAUAAGAAAUAAUCAUUAAUUUCAUAAAACUUGCAUUGAUCGUCUAAUAAUAAUUGCUAAAACACCCUUUAAACGUAUUACUUAUAAUUGAUGAUGUGAAAAAGGUAAGAAGUUUGACAACCAUGGAGAGUGGAAGAUUGAUUUGGCAUCUGAGCACGAAAGAUACGUGCGGAGGUCCAGAGUUGAUUGAAGAAUUACAAAGAAGGAUUACAAUAUUCAACACAAAUAUGUCUUAUUAUUAUUUUGCUGUUAUCUGUGAGGAUUGUUUUUUACUACUUUCGUAAUGUUUUGCAAUAUACAUAGAUGAAAGAUUUCAUAUCACCUACCUGCCUCCAACCAUGUAAGCCAAUGUUCUUCAUUUCAUUAAAAUGACCUACGACAACAUCAAUUGUUUUUCUUCUUUGUUGUCAUAAAAAUUGAAUUCAAUGUC